UACGGAGGGUGCAAACGUUGCUCGGAAUCAUUGGGCGUAAAGCGCACGUAGGCGGUUCGCUAUGUCGGAUGUGAAAGCCCCGGGCUCAACCCGGGAAGUGCACUCGAUACUGUCGAGCUAGAGUAUCGGAGAGGUUGGUGGAAUUCUCGGUGUAGAGGUGAAAUUCGUAGAUAUCGAGAGGAACACCGGUGGCGAAGGCGGCCAACUGGACGAAUACUGACGCUGAGACUCGAAAGCGUGGGGAGCAAACAGG
rnacentral:rRNA from 1 species